ACCAAAGCAGUUUAGAUAAUUAACGAUAGUUUAAGUGAGUUUAACAGUGAUCUAAUUAGAUGCACUUAGUGGCGUAUGCUUUGAUACAGCCAAAACCUCAAGAAUUUGUGAUGAAGUUUACAUUUCUGAAAAGAAAAAAAGAAGUAAAAGUUACAUUAAAGAGGAGGAACAAAGAAUGAAGACUAAUCUAAAUAACAGGAAACCCGUGAAAAUCGAAACGUGAUCCCUAUCCCUUUUGACUCGGUAAAAAGAGAAAAUUUGCAUUGUGAUUAUUUUUGUAAUGUUAAGUUUUUUAUUGGUUGAAAGAUUGCUUUGUAAAAUCUGAACUGCUUGCAGCUAACACAUCUUAAAAAAAGAAGGUAGAAACUACUUUUUGAUCAGAAAUGUAUGCUACCAUUGAGCCUCAGCUCCUCAACUAAGCAAAAAAGAAGCAAAUUCGGUUGAAGCCUGGAAGAUGAGGUAAGGGAGAGAAACGAAAAAACAAAGGUUCUGUUGAGAUUCAAGUCCCCUUUUAAUUGCACGAGAGAUAAGGAAAACGAGAUAUCAAGUGGGAAGACAAUGACCAUGAAAGAAAGGCAAAAUCAGAAGUAGAAAGCUGGCCCUAUGAGCAAAACUUUGCCUCAUGCAGAAGAGUCUUUUUCCAACGAGAAUAAAAACAGUUUUUGAAAAUGGGUGAGUUCUUUCUUGAUUUCUCAUCGAUCCUUAUACAAUGAAGAAAACAUAGAUUUCCCUGCAAAGAGAGUUAUGCAUCUUGCAGAAAAAGUGAAGCCAAGCCAUACACUAGAAAGUGGUAUGUAUUCCUUCUUUCUUUUAAAAUUAAAAUUAACAGCUUUUCUAUGUAUGCAUGCAUGUGUAUAUACCUGUAUGUGUGUAUACAUCAUAAAUGCAUACAACAACAACAUAACAUACCCAGUGUAAUCCCACAAGUGGGAUCUGAGGAGGGUAGAGUGUACGCAGACUUAACCUCUACCUUGGGAGGUAGCAUCAUAAAUGCAUACAAUACAUAUAUAUGUGUGUGUGUAUAUAUAUAAAAGCUAUGUUUGUAUGCUUGGAUCUGUGUUUAUUCAACAACCCCAUAGUGCUUUCCUAUGUUUGUUAUUUGAUCUUUGUUUCUUCUGCUCAUGCCAAAAUAACACACGCACACACGAGAGAAAUUAAGCAAAAUAUUUAGGGGAAUAAUCCUAGAGCAUUGCAAAAUAUCGAUAUUAAGGGGAAAAAUCAUCUGAUAUAGAAUUUCUAAUGCUUGAAUAAAAUCAGAAAAUGGAAAGAAGUUCAAAAUUAGAAAGAGGGAACAAGCAGAGAAAAGGGAUUGAAAAUUUAAUUGACUCAGCAAAAAUCAGAGGUCAAUGUAUUUAUAUCACUAUAUGAAUGAUCAUCAUCUUACAGCAAAUACUAUAAAAGCUUGAGCAGAUGUUAACUGCUCCAUGUGGAGCUUUUUACAAUUAAACAAUGGACUUGACAUAUUCAACCUAAAAUCACCUUAAAAGAAUGAAACCAUCCCCAUAAAUUUGCUAAUAAAAAAUCGCAGAAAUGAGAGGGGGGUGUACAUAUAUAA